rnacentral:tRNA from 1 species
GCCUCCUUGGCUCAGAUGGCAGAGCGUCCGCCUAGUAAGCGGAAGGUCGCCAGUUCGAUUCUGGCAGGAGGCA